UUGACCUCGGAUCAGGUAGGAAUACCCGCUGAACUUAAGCAUAUCAAUAAGCGGAGGAAAAGAAACCAACAGGGAUUGCCCUAGUAACGGCGAGUGAAGCGGCAACAGCUCAAAUUUGAAAUCUGGCCCUCGGGUCC
rnacentral:rRNA from 1 species